GAGGGUGUAGCUCAGUCGGUAGAGCAUUCGACUUUUAAUCGAAUGGUCCAGGGUUCAAGUCCCUGCACCCUCAC
rnacentral:tRNA from 1 species